ensembl:miRNA
AGUUUUUGGAAGAGAUAUUGCCACCCUUUCUAGUCCCUAUUAGUCUAGGAAGGAUGGCAAUACCUCUUCCAAAA